rnacentral:rRNA from 1 species
AUUGAACGCUGGCGGCAGGCCUAACACAUGCAAGUCGAACGAGUGGCGGACGGGUGAGUAAUGUCUGGGAAACUGCCUGAUGGAGGGGGAUAACUAAUGGAAACGGUAGCUAAUACCGCAUACCAUCGGAUGUGCCCAGAUGGGAUGAGCUAGUAGGUGGGGUAAAGGCUCACCUAGGCGACGAUCCAUAGCUGGUCUUAGAGGAUGACCAGCCAAACGGGAACGGAGAAACGGUCCAGACUAUAACGGGAGGCAGCAGUGGGGAAUAUUGCACAAUGGGCGCAAUCCUGAUGAAGACAUGCCGCGUGGAUGAAGAAGGCCGUCGGGUUGUAAAGUACGUUCAGCGGGGAGGCGUUACCCGCAGAAGAAGCACCGGCUAACUCCGUGCCAGCAGCCGCGGUAAUAC